UACGGAGGAUGCGAGCGUUAUCCGGAUUUAUUGGGUUUAAAGGGUGCGCAGGCGGCGUGUCAAGUCAGCGGUAAAAUGUCGGGGCUCAACCCCGGCCCGCCGUUGAAACUGGCAGUCUCGAGUUGGAGAGAAGUACGCGGAAUGCGCGGUGUAGCGGUGAAAUGCUUAGAUAUCGCGCAGAACCCCGAUUGCGAAGGCAGCAUGCCGGCUCCACACUGACGCUGAGGCACGAAAGCGUGGGUAUCGAACAGG
rnacentral:rRNA from 1 species